CAGAAUACAUGAUGAUCUCACCUCAGCUUGAACUCUCUCACUGAUAACCUGAUGGAGAUAACAGAUCUGAUAUUCUG
ensembl:snoRNA SNORD81 Small nucleolar RNA SNORD81